UGGGGAAUAUUGCACAAUGGGCGAAAGCCUGAUGCAGCAACGCCGCGUGAGCGAUGAAGGCCUUCGGGCCGUAAAGCUCUGUCCUCAAGGAAGAUAAUGACGGUACUUGAGGAGGAAGCCCCGGCUAACUACGUGCCAGCAGCCGCGGUAAUACGUAGGGGGCUAGCGUUAUCCGGAAUUACUGGGCGUAAAGGGUGCGUAGGUGGUUUCUUAAGUCAGAGGUGAAAGGCUACGGCUCAACCGUAGUAAGCCUUUGAAACUGGGAAACUUGAGUGCAGGAGAGGAGAGUGGAAUUCCUAGUGUAGCGGUGAAAUGCGUAGAUAUUAGGAGGAACACCAGUUGCGAAGGCGACUUACUGGACUGUAACUGACGCUGAGACGCGAAAGCGUGGGGAGCAAACA
rnacentral:rRNA from 1 species